rnacentral:misc_RNA from 1 species
UGUCGAUGCCGCUGCGUGCCGGCGGCCGGGUCGUCGGCUGCCUGGCGCUGUCCAGCGCGACCAAGAACGCCUUCGGCGAGGCCUCGCUCAACACGUUGCGCCUGGUCGAGCAGCCGGCCGCUGUCGUGAUCCACAACGCCCGCCUGGCCGGAGCCGUGCACGUCUGACGCUCCGGUGGCGGUUUCGUCAGGAUCGGAGGGCGUCUGUGGCGUCCUGAGCCCCGAACGCUCUCCGAUCCUGCCAAAUGCGGGUGCGACUCCUGCGGAAACGGGGGCGACGCGGCGGUCCGCGCCGGGCGUUCGAGCGCAUCACG